rnacentral:rRNA from 1 species
UUACCUGGGCUCGAAAUGCUAUGGACCGGGGUGGAGACAUCCCUUCCCCGCAAGGGGCCGUAGUAUAGGUGCUGCAUGGCUGUCGUCAGCUCGUGUCGUGAGAUGUUGGGUUAAGUUCCGCAACGAGCGCAACCCUUAUCCCCAGUUGCCAUCAUUCAGUUGGGCACUCUGGUGAAACCGCCUCGGAUAACGGGGAGGAAGGUGGGGAUGACGUCAAGUCCUCAUGGCCUUUAUGUCCAGGGCUACACACGUGCUACAAUGGCCGGUACAAACCGUCGCAAACCCGCGAGGGGGAGCUAAUCGGAAAAAGCCGUCCUCAGUUCGGAUUGCAGUCUGCAACUCGACUGCAUGAAGCUGGAAUCGCUAGUAAUCGCCGAUCAGAAUGCCGCGGUGAAUACGUUCCCGGGCCUUGUACACACCGCCCGUCACAUCACGAAAGUGGGUUGCACUAGAAGUCGGUGAGCCAACCGCAAGGAGGCAGCCGCCCAAGGUGUAAUUCAUGAUUGGGGUGAAGUCGUAACAAGGUAGCCGUAGGAGAACCUGCGGCUGGAU